UACGAGGGGCGCAAGUGUUGUUCGGAAUCACUGGGCGUAAAGGGAGCGUAGGCGGGCUUUUAAGUUAGGUGUUUAAUCCCGGGGCCCAACCCCGGACGGGCACCUAAAACUGGGAGUCUUGAAUAGUGGAGAGGUCAGUGGAAUUGGGUGUGUAGCGGUGGAAUGCGUAGAGAUGCCCAAGAACACCAGUUGCGAAGGCGGCUGACUGGACACAUAUUGACGCUGAGGCUCGAAAGCAUGGGGAGCAAACAGG
rnacentral:rRNA from 1 species